rnacentral:rRNA from 1 species
AUCAACAGCCAUUGCUUAGUACGGCGAGUGAAGCGGCAAAAGCUCAAAUUUGAAAUCUGGCACCUUCGGUGUCCGAGUUGUAAUUUGAAGAAGGUAACUUUGGAGUUGGCUCUUGUCUAUGUUCCUUGGAACAGGACGUCACAGAGGGUGAGAAUCCCGUGCGAUGAGAUGCCCAAUUCUAUGUAAAGUGCUUUCGAAGAGUCGAGUUGUUUGGGAAUGCAGCUCUAAGUGGGUGGUAAAUUCCAUCUAAAGCUAAAUAUUGGCGAGAGACCGAUAGCGAACAAGUACAGUGAUGGAAAGAUGAAAAGAACUUUGAAAAGAGAGUGAAAAAGUACGUGAAAUUGUUGAAAGGGAAGGGCUUGAGAUCAGACUUGGUAUUUUGCGAUCCUUUCCUUCUUGGUUGGGUUCCUCGCAGCUUACUGGGCCAGCAUCGGUUUGGAUGGUAGGAUAAUGACUAAGGAAUGUGGCUCUACUUCGGUGGAGUGUUAUAGCCUUGGUUGAUACUGCCUGUCUAGACCGAGGACUGCGUCUUUUGACUAGGAUGUUGGCAUAAUGAUCUUAAGCCACCCGUCUAAAAAACGGGGACCAAAAACCUAAAAUAAAAUUGGGAAGUAAAAAUU